CUGAAUCAGUGUGUGUGUUAGUGGAAGCGUCUGGAAAGGCGCGCGAUACAGGGUGACAGCCCCGUACACAAAAAUGCACAUGCUGUGAGCUCGAUGAGUAGGGCGGGACACGUGGUAUCCUGUCUGAAUAUGGGGGGACCAUCCUCCAAGGCUAAAUACUCCUGACUGACCGAUAGUGAACCAGUACCGUGAGGGAAAGGCGAAAAGAACCCCGGCGAGGGGAGUGAAAAAGAACCUGAAACCGUGUACGUACAAGCAGUGGGAGCACGCUUAGGCGUGUGACUGCGUACCUUUUGUAUAAUGGGUCAGCGACUUAUAUUCUGUAGCAAGGUUAACCGAAUAGGGGAGCCGAAGGGAAACCGAGUCUUAACUGGGCGUUAAGUUGCAGGGUAUAGACCCGAAACCCGGUGAUCUAGCCAUGGGCAGGUUGAAGGUUGGGUAACACUAACUGGAGGACCGAACCGACUAAUGUUGAAAAAUUAGCGGAUGACUUGUGGCUGGGGGUGAAAGGCCAAUCAAACCGGGAGAUAGCUGGUUCUCCCCGAAAGCUAUUUAGGUAGCGCCUCGUGAAUUCAUCUCCGGGGGUAGAGCACUGUUUCGGCAAGGGGGUCAUCCCGACUUACCAACCCGAUGCAAACUGCGAAUACCGGAGAAUGUUAUCACGGGAGACACACGGCGGGUGCUAACGUCCGUCGUGAAGAGGGAAACAACCCAGACCGCCAGCUAAGGUCCCAAAGUCAUGGUUAAGUGGGAAACGAUGUGGGAAGGCCCAGACAGCCAGGAUGUUGGCUUAGAAGCAGCCAUCAUUUAAAGAAAGCGUAAUAGCUCACUGGUCGAGUCGGCCUGCGCGGAAGAUGUAACGGGGCUAAACCAUGCACCGAAGCUGCGGCAGCGACGCUUAUGCGUUGUUGGGUAGGGGAGCGUUCUGUAAGCCUGUGAAGGUGUGCUGUGAGGCAUGCUGGAGGUAUCAGAAGUGCGAAUGCUGACAUAAGUAACGAUAAAGCGGGUGAAAAGCCCGCUCGCCGGAAGACCAAGGGUUCCUGUCCAACGUUAAUCGGGGCAGGGUGAGUCGACCCCUAAGGCGAGGCCGAAAGGCGUAGUCGAUGGGAAACAGGUUAAUAUUCCUGUACUUGGUGUUACUGCGAAGGGGGGACGGAGAAGGCUAUGUUGGCCGGGCGACGGUUGUCCCGGUUUAAGCGUGUAGGCUGGUUUUCCAGGCAAAUCCGGAAAAUCAAGGCUGAGGCGUGAUGACGAGGCACUACGGUGCUGAAGCAACAAAUGCCCUGCUUCCAGGAAAAGCCUCUAAGCAUCAGGUAACAUCAAAUCGUACCCCAAACCGACACAGGUGGUCAGGUAGAGAAUACCAAGGCGCUUGAGAGAACUCGGGUGAAGGAACUAGGCAAAAUGGUGCCGUAACUUCGGGAGAAGGCACGCUGAUAUGUAGGUGAAGUCCCUUGCGGAUGGAGCUGAAAUCAGUCGAAGAUACCAGCUGGCUGCAACUGUUUAUUAAAAACACAGCACUGUGCAAACACGAAAGUGGACGUAUACGGUGUGACGCCUGCCCGGUGCCGGAAGGUUAAUUGAUGGGGUCAGCGCAAGCGAAGCUCUUGAUCGAAGCCCCGGUAAACGGCGGCCGUAACUAUAACGGUCCUAAGGUAGCGAAAUUCCUUGUCGGGUAAGUUCCGACCUGCACGAAUGGCGUAAUGAUGGCCAGGCUGUCUCCACCCGAGACUCAGUGAAAUUGAACUCGCUGUGAAGAUGCAGUGUACCCGCGGCAAGACGGAAAGACCCCGUGAACCUUUACUAUAGCUUGACACUGAACAUUGAGCCUUGAUGUGUAGGAUAGGUGGGAGGCUUUGAAGUGUGGACGCCAGUCUGCAUGGAGCCGACCUUGAAAUACCACCCUUUAAUGUUUGAUGUUCUAACGUUGGCCCCUAAUCGGGGUUGCGGACAGUGUCUGGUGGGUAGUUUGACUGGGGCGGUCUCCUCCUAAAGAGUAACGGAGGAGCACGAAGGUUGGCUAAUCCUGGUCGGACAUCAGGAGGUUAGUGCAAUGGCAUAAGCCAGCUUGACUGCGAGCGUGACGGCGCGAGCAGGUGCGAAAGCAGGUCAUAGUGAUCCGGUGGUUCUGAAUGGAAGGGCCAUCGCUCAACGGAUAAAAGGUACUCCGGGGAUAACAGGCUGAUACCGCCCAAGAGUUCAUAUCGACGGCGGUGUUUGGCACCUCGAUGUCGGCUCAUCACAUCCUGGGGCUGAAGUAGGUCCCAAGGGUAUGGCUGUUCGCCAUUUAAAGUGGUACGCGAGCUGGGUUUAGAACGUCGUGAGACAGUUCGGUCCCUAUCUGCCGUGGGCGCUGGAGAACUGAGGGGGGCUGCUCCUAGUACGAGAGGACCGGAGUGGACGCAUCACUGGUGUUCGGGUUGUCAUGCCAAUGGCACUGCCCGGUAGCUAAAUGCGGAAGAGAUAAGUGCUGAAAGCAUCUAAGCACGAAACUUGCCCCGAGAUGAGUUCUCCCUGACUCCUUGAGAGUCCUGAAGGAACGUUGAAGACGACGACGUUGAUAGGCCGGGUGUGUAAGCGCAGCGAUGCGUUGAGCUAACCGGUACUAAUGAACCGUGAGGCUUAACCUU
rnacentral:rRNA from 1 species